GUUAGGAAUAUUGGACAAUGGGCGAAAGCCUGAUCCAGCCAUGCCGCGUGAACGAUGAAGGCCUUCGGGUUGUAAAGUUCUUUAGCCGAUGAUUAUAAUGACUGUAGUCGGAAAAUAAGCCCCGGCUAACUUCGUGCCAGCAGCCGCGGUAAUACGAAGGGGGCGAGCGUUAUCCGGAAUCACUGGGCGUAAAGCGUGCGUAGGCGGUUUUGUAAGUUAGGAGUGAAAGCCCAGGGCUCAACCUUGGAAUUGCUCUUAAAACUGCAAGGCUCGAAUCUCGGAGAGGAUAGCGGAAUUUCCAGUGUAGCAGUGAAAUGCGUAGAUAUUGGAAGGAACACCAGUGGCGUAAGCGGCUAUCUGGACGAGUAUUGACGCUGAGGCACGAAAGCGUGGGGAUCAAACAGGAUUAGAAACCCGUGUAGUCC
rnacentral:rRNA from 1 species